rnacentral:rRNA from 1 species
UGGGGAAUUUUGGACAAUGGGCGCAAGCCUGAUCCAGCAAUGCCGCGUGCAGGAUGAAGGCCUUCGGGUUGUAAACUGCUUUUGUACGGUGCGAAAAGGUCUUCCCUAAUACUGUGGGCUCAUGACGGUACCGUAAGUAUAAGCACCGGCUAACUACGUGCCAGCAGCCGCGGUCAUACGUAGGGUGCGAGCGUUAAUCGGAAUUACUGGGCGUAAAGCGUGCGCAGGCGGUUAUAUAAGACAGAUGUGAAAUCCCCGGGCUCAACCUUGGAACCGCAAUUGUGACUGUAUAGCUAGAGUACGGUAGAGGGAUAUGGAAUUCCGCGUGUAGCAAUGAAAUGCUUAGAUAUGCGGAGGAACACCGAUGGCGAAGGCAAUCCCCUAGACCUGUACUGACACUCAUGCAAGAAAGCGUGGAAAGCAAACA